UCGUUCUGGUUAACUACAGUCUAUGGCCCGACCGACGACGCAGGCAAAGAGGCCUUCCUAGCCGAGAUCACAAACUCCGCCCCGCCUUGCUCUGAGCCAUGGAUUAUCAACGGUGACUUCAACCAAAUUUACGAGGCUAGGGAGAAGAACAACCUCAACCUAAAUAGGAGGCUCAUGGGACGCUUUAGGGCCGCCUUAGAUAGAGUCGGACUACGCCAAAUCAAAUGCGGAAACCGCAAGUUCACCUGGAGCAACGAGCGCGACAACCCAACAAUGGUGGGCAUCGACAAGUUCUUCUGCAAUGCACUGUGGGAAACUUUGUUCCCCCUAACAAUGCUGCUGGCUGCUUCCACGGCAUGCUCCGACCACUGCCCGCUACUGCUC
rnacentral:rRNA from 1 species